rnacentral:lncRNA from 1 species
CAGCACCCUCGCCUAGACCACCACCACAAUUUCCCUCGCCACAACCCCCACCUUCAUUUCCGCCUCCACCUCCUGUGGCCAGACCUCCACCCCCACCACCUCCUCCACGAAGACCCCCUCCUGGGCCUCCUCCAGUGCCGAGACCCCC